AUUGAACGCUGGCGGAAUGCUUUACACAUGCAAGUCGAACGGUAGAGGGGGCAACCCCUCGAGAGUGGCGAACGGGUGAGUAAUAUAUCGGAACGUGCCCAGUCGUGGGGGAUAACGUAGCGAAAGUUACGCUAAUACCGCAUACGAUCUAAGGAUGAAAGCGGGGGAUCGCAAGACCUCGCGCGAUUGGAGCGGCCGAUAUCAGAUUAGGUAGUUGGUGGGGUAAAGGCUCACCAAGCCAACGGUCUGUAGCUGGUCUGAGAGGACGACCAGCCACACUGGAACUGAGACACGGUCCAGACUCCUACGGGAGGCAGCAGUGGGGAAUUUUGGACGAUGGACGCAAGUCUGAUCCAGCCAUUCCGCGUGCAGGAUGAAGGCCCUCGGGUUGUAAACUGCUUUUGUACGGAACGAAAAGGUCUCUCUUAAUACGGGGGGCUCAUGACGGUACCGUAAGAAUAAGCACCGGCUAACUACGUGCCAGCAGCCGCGGUAA
rnacentral:rRNA from 1 species